ACGUAGGGGGCAAGCGUUGUCCGGAAUGAUUGGGCGUAAAGCGCGAGUAGGAGGCCUGGUAAGUCUGGAGUGAAAGUGCUGAUUUUAAGGCGGAAAUUGCGUUGGAUACAGCUGGGCUUGAGUGCAGGAGAGGUAAGUGGAAUUCCCGGUGUAGCGGUGAAAUGCGUAGAGAUCGGGAGGAGCACCAGUGGCGAAGGCGACUUACUGGACGGUAACUGACGCUGAGGCGCGAAAGUGUGGGGAGCAAACAG
rnacentral:rRNA from 1 species